rnacentral:rRNA from 1 species
UACGAAGGGGGCUAGCGUUGCUCGGAAUGACUGGGCGUAAAGGGCGCGUAGGCGGUUUGCACAGUCAGGCGUGAAAUUCCUGGGCUUAACCUGGGGGCUGCGCUUGAUACGUGUGGACUGGAGUGCGGAAGAGGGUCGUGGAAUUCCCAGUGUAGAGGUGAAAUUCGUAGAUAUUGGGAAGAACACCGGUGGCGAAGGCGGCGACCUGGUCCGUGACUGACGCUGAGGCGCGAAAGCGUGGGGAGCGAACAGG